rnacentral:tRNA from 1 species
GCCUGGCUGGCUCAGUUGGUACAGCAUGAGACUCUUGAUCUCGGGGUUGUAAGUUUGAGUCCCACUUUGGGUA